AACGUAGGACACGAGCGUUAUCCGGAGUUACUGGGCGUAAAGGGCGUGCAGGCGGUUGGAUAAGUCUGAUGUGAAAGCUCCCGGCUCAACCGGGAGAGGACAUUGGAGACUGUUUAACUAGAGGCAGAUAGAGGGCUGUAGAAUUCCGGGAGUAGUGGUGAAAUGCGUAGAGAUCCGGAGGAAUACCAGAGGCGAAGGCGGCAGCCUGGGUCUGACCUGACGCUGAGACGCGACAGCAUGGGGAGCGAACGGG
rnacentral:rRNA from 1 species